rnacentral:lncRNA from 1 species
AAAAAAAGAAAAGAAAACCCUUCCCCAGCAGAGACCACUUUUACUACAAACUUAAAAUGUCUUUUCUUUAUCCUCGGCCUCAACUAUAUGUUGCGGCAUUGAAUUAGCAUUGCCAAACACCGCAGCCACUUUUUACCCCGAGCCAGGAGAGAAAGGAAGCAUGCUAUGUGGUGGGGCUUGAAGUCCUCAUUAGGUAGGCAGCUGUAUGUCUGAUCAUGGCGAGAGGUUCCUCUUGCUUCGCUUCCCUCAUCCUUACAUUCAUACAUGCUAACUCUCUCCCCCGACAAUUUACCUGCUUUAGAAGCUUUGUGUCAAAUGAAGUUGCUUUUCCAUUCCAUCUAGCAAAAGCCUG